rnacentral:tRNA from 1 species
GCUAGCAUGGUGUAGUGGUUUGAGCACUGGACUAUGAUUCUGGAGACCAGGGUUCGAAUCCCCACUUGGUCAUG